AAGCGGAGUUUAGUAGUACUUCGGCAGUAGUAGGAGGAGGAGGAGAGAGAUCGAAACCCUUACCUGAGCGCUACGUGAACCCCGAUCUCCGCCACAGCCGACUCGCCGCCACCCGAUCGGGACCGAUGGAGGAGGAGGAGGGCUGGCUUUCGCCGACGUCAGACGCGUCCUCCAGCUGGAAAUUCCGCGCCGACGUCUCCGUCGCUUCCCUCCACGACCUCUGCGGCGGGGAGGGCGUCGAGUGGUGCACGCCCGCAAGGAUCGGGGAUGGAUUCCCGCCGACGUUCAAUCUACCGGCGACAAUGGAGGAGGAAGGACAGAUGAAUCUCCAGCCCGAACCGGGAUCCGGUAACGCAGCGGCGGCAGUGGCGUCGAGCUUGAGCGAGGAGCCCCCCGGCAUGAGGGCUGCAGAGAAAGCGAAUACAGGUGCCAAGAGUGGACAAAAGAGAACUCGCCAACCCAGGUUUGCAUUCAUGACCAAAAGUGAGAUCGAGCAACUGGAAGACGGCUAUCGAUGGAGAAAAUAUGGGCAAAAAGCUGUCAAGAACAGCCCAUUUCCGAGGAGCUACUACCGCUGCACGAACAGCAAGUGCACCGUCAAGAAGAGAGUCGAGCGCUCCUCACACGACCCCAGCAUCGUGAUCACCACAUACGAAGGCCAACACUGUCACCACACCAUCUCCUUCCCUAGCGGCAGCAUACACCCUCGCGACACAAGGUCGACAUCUGAUCGGCUUGCCUUGUCUUCACCACAGCGACAUGUGCACCUUCCCACGCAUCCAGGCCAGCUCGUGAUGUCCGAUCCACGGUAUGAGGAUCCGAUCACACCAUUCCUGGCGGAGAGAAGCUCAUCAGCUCCCACAGACGAGGGUUUGCUAGAUGAUAUUGUGCCAUCUGGAAUGAGAAGAGGAUGAGGAGAAGAACUUGGUACUGAAACUUAAUACUCAUGUUUGGGUUUGCCUUUUGCUAGAAGAUCGAAUAUACGAGACUCUUUUGAAGUACGAUUGUCUUUGUACAUGGAGCUUAAAUGACUGUUGGACUGACUUCCAAGAGCCAGAAAACGACUUGAGGAGCAGACAGGGUGAUCCAUGGUCCAUGUACCAUGCACUAUAUACAUACAUAGCUGGAGCUUGUGAUUUAUGCUUGGCAGGUUUUAGGUUAUGCCAGACUCUGCUUAACAUCAUCUGGUAAUGAAUCGUAGCUUUCUUCUUCUUCUUCUUCUGUUGUCGUAAGAGUGCCUGAGGAAAGAAUACUCACAUGAUCACCAGUCAUGGGAAGCACGAGAUCUGCUUGUUGAUUUGUACCAGGUUCUGCUUGCACCGAGCACUUGAGGGUCGAUGCCUUCUUCGUCUGCAGCUCAAAAGUUCCUGCGCAGACAUCCCAUUCCAUGAAGUUCUACAAUAAUCUCCUCAACGUAGGUGCCAUGCGUGCAUGCAUUCGCAUGAGAAGGCAGUCAUGUAAUCUGUCUUCUCGGUUAGGGUUUUAUCUGUUUGUGGAAGUUCUACGUAAGACUAGUUUGCAUGAGAUGCAUGUGGGUUUUCUCGAUUAAAGCGCCGAGGUGAAGUUUCAGUGUAACACUAUAUAUUGGUGUUUAACUUAUGUUCUCUGGCUUUUACAGUAUCAUUAUAAUAGCGUCUACGAAUGAGACGGCAACAUAUAGAUUCAAAGUUGA